rnacentral:rRNA from 1 species
GCGGCCGAUAUCGGAUUAGCUUGUUGGUGAGGUAAAGGCUCACCAAGGCGACGAUCCGUAGCGGGUCUGAGAGGACGACCCGCCACACUGGAACUGAGACACGGUCCAGACUCCUACGGGAGGCAGCAGUGGGGAAUUUUGGACAAUGGGGGCAACCCUAAUCCAGCCAUUCCGCGUGAGUGAAGAAGGCCUUCGGGUUGUAAAGCUCUUUCAGCAGGAACGAAACGGUGGUCCUUAAUACGGGCUACUAAUGACGGUACCUGAAGAAGAAGCACCGGCUAACUACGUGCCAGCAGCCGCGGUAAUACGUAGGGUGCGAGCGUUAAUCGGAAUUACUGGGCGUAAAGCGUGCGCAGGCGGUUAUAUAAGACAGAUGUGAAAUCCCCGGGCUUAACCUGGGAACUGCGUUUGUGACUGUAUAACUUGAGUGUGGCAGAGGGGGGUGGAAUUCCACGUGUAGCAGUGAAAUGCGUAGAGAUGUGGAGGAACACCGAUGGCGAAGGCAGCCCC